AUGAACGCUCAGAACAGCAACAAAAAGUGUAACCCAUUUGCCAUUAUAAACAAUAUCCCCCGCGAUUAUCAUUCAUCUGAUUUGAGGAACUUCUUUUCUCAGUUUAUAGAGACCAAAGGGUUUAAAUGUUUUCACUUCAGACAUCGCCCGGAGGUACAAUUGCACAAACGUAAGGAAAACGGAGAGGAUGAGAACUGUGAUCAGCAGAAAACUUCAAGUACAAACACAUGCUGCUGUGUUGUUAGCGUGUUUGAAGACAGAUAUGAGGAAUUUUACAAGAUGUACCAUAGAAAACAUUGGUUGGACAGUAAUGGGGAAUCUAUCUCAAAAGUGUGCCAUAUUUCUAGAGUGAAGAUUCAAAACUCAGAUGAUCUGUCCUCAUUUUAUAAAACAAGAGGCGAAUUGAAACAGAUCCCUAGUGACAGAGAAACAUUCACAGAGGCUGAUUUGAUGAAAUUACCAGAGUUGCAUCCCCCAGCUGCCAUGCCAAAUGGAAAUGUAGGAACUCCAACAUCUAUUUUCAUGGAGGCUAUCAGGCAAUGUAAACUACCUCAAGCAGUGAUCAAGAAACUGGGACUCAAGUUCCCCAAGACCAGAGUGAAAAACAGAUAUGGCAAUGUUCCUUUCAAUUAUGGGGGUAAGAUAGAGGAGCCUGAAAAUUCUGAAUCUGUGGAAGAGACGGUGUUAUCUGGAAGUGGACACAAACUUGUCAGUGAUGGUGAUUAUGAAGAGAAGACAGAGGACUCAGACCUACAAAAUCAAAAAGUACGCAAACGGUUGACCAAGAAAGAUCCAGAGACCAAGAGAAGAAUGGAGCUGAAUAUUGAGGAGAAUAUGAUUCACAAGGAAGACAAUGAUUCAGAACAUGAUAAUGACAGUUGUGAAGAAUGGGAAAGACACGAGGCACUGACAGAUGACCCCACAAACCAGGAGAGGAACAAGGAGCGGCUGUUUGAGGAGGAGAUAGAACUCAAGUGGGAGAAAGGAGGGAGUGGCUUAGUGUUCUACACCGACGCUCAGUACUGGCAGGAGCAAGAGGGGGAUUUUGACGAGCAGACCACAGAUGACUGGGAUGUAGACAUGAGUGUGUAUUAUGAGAAGGGAUCGGGUGACAAGGAUGCUAGGGAUCAUGUGACCAUGAGACAAGAAAAUCGUCGAAGAGACGGCAAAGAGGCCACAGACAGGUUCACUGCUGGAUUUGGUAGGAAGAGGAAAGUUCAGCCCCCAAGGGAGGAACACAAAAUUGGGAAAUUUGAGACUCAUACCAAAGGAGUAGGAAGGAAGAUCCUAGAAAAACAAGGCUGGCAGGAGGGGCAGGGAUUAGGAUCAACAAUUAAAGGGAUUGCAGAGGCUUUGGAAAAUGAUGGCCAAAAUCCCAGGGACAGAAAAGGAUUUGGGUACAGAGGUGAAAAGCUUGUUAGACCCACAGGAAAAUGCAAAAGAGCUGAGAGAGAGGUCUUGAUAUCUACAGUGUAUGAUGACCACUCCCAGACUGACCCCCAGGACCCACUACUGAGGCGGGGUCACCACUACCACAUCAAGUAUCGAGACAAAGUCGACUUCACAAAGCCACAGGAAAGCCAAGGCUAUAUUGACAAUUAAGAAACUGCAUUAUAUACAUGUACAUCAUUUACAUUGCUUCAUAUGUUUUACAAGUUUGUUCUUUAAAAAAAACUACUUGAAAGCUGUUCCUUUAUCAUGACAAAUGAAAAACUAUUGGAAACACAC
rnacentral:misc_RNA from 1 species